rnacentral:rRNA from 1 species
CACGUAGGGCGCAAGCGUUGUCCGGAAUUAUUGGGCGUAAAGAGCUCGUAGGUGGUUUGCUGCGUCCGCUGUGAAAACCCAAGGCUUAACCUUGGGCUUGCAGUGGAUACGGGCAGACUAGAGGUAGGUAGGGGAGAAUGGAAUUCCCGGUGUAGCGGUGAAAUGCGCAGAUAUCGGGAGGAACACCGGUGGCGAAGGCGGUUCUCUGGGCCUUACCUGACACUGAGGAGCGAAAGCGUGGGGAGCGAUCAGG